UAGCCUAGUGGUUUAGGCUAUGGAUCGCCAAUCCGGAGACGACGGGUUCAAUUCCCGU
rnacentral:tRNA from 1 species